GGGGGUAUAGUGUAGCGGCUAUCAUAGCGGGCUCCAGACCCGCCGACGGGGGUUCGAGUCCCUCUACCCCCA
rnacentral:tRNA from 1 species